CAAUGUGAUUUCUGCCCAGUGCUCUGAAUGUCAAAGUGAAGUAAUUCAACCAAGCGCGGGUAAACGGCGGGAGUAACUAUGACUCAAGAAAGCUGGUUCGCGGGGCGNAUGAUCCGCAGCCAAGUCCUACGUCCAGCCACGCUGGAUACGGAUGCAGUUCAACGACUAGAUGGUGAUGGGUUCCGGCCGAGGCUCCCCUCGGUCGGGGCUUAAGAUAUAGUCUACGCCGACCGCGAAAGCGGACG
rnacentral:ncRNA from 1 species